UCGUUUUGAUGAGGCAGGUGAGGCAUAAAUAGGAGACGGGAAAAAAAAGAAAGAAAGAAGAAAAAAAAAGAAAAGAGAAAACAGAUAAGGGAGAGAGCGGGGAGGAGAAAGAAAGAGAAAAGAAGGUUCGAGAAAGAGAGAGAGGGGAGUCAGAGUAGAGAGGAAUGAGAAGGGAGAGAGAAGAAGAAAGAGGACGGUGACAGUGCGAUCAGCAGGAGGAAGGAAU
rnacentral:lncRNA from 1 species